rnacentral:rRNA from 1 species
GACGAACGCUGGCGGCGUGCUUAACACAUGCAAGUCGAACGGAGUGGCGAACGGGUGAGUAACACGUGGGUGAUCUGCCUUGCACUUCGGGAUAAGCUUGGGAAACUGGGGCUAAUACCGGAUAGUGCAAGAUGAGCUCGCUGCCUAUCAGCUUGUUGGUGGGGUAAUGGCCUACCAAGGCGUAGACGGGUAGCCGGCCUGAGAGGUGGUACGGCCACAAUGGGACUGAGAUACGGCCCAGAAGCCUACGGGAGGCAGUGGUGGGGAGUAUUGCAGAAUGGGCGGAAGUCUGAUGAAGCGACGCGGCGUGGGGAAUGCAGGCUUUCGGGUGGUAAACACCUUUCGACAGGGACGCGGUACCUGUAUAAGAAGCACCGGCUAACUACGUGCCAGCAGCCGCGGUAAUAC